CAUGGCACACCAGGGAUGGGACCCCACUGGGGAUCGAACUGCUUUUGCUUCUUUCCUGCUCAACUGAUCUGGAAUGUGGUUCACCGUAACCACAUACGAGGCCGACACCACUGAUACUGGAAGCAACUUGGGUCCUUGGUUGCUGAUGCCGGACCCUGUGUUUGCCAGUAUUUUUUAGUGAUGAGGAAUUGUACAUCAUGUUUACAAAUGCAGCUCUAACUUACAUGAACAAGAUGUACUGCAGUUUCUUUCGACCCACGUGCAAGCAACCUACACAGUGAUGAGAAUCAUGCAUUUUUUAUCCUAUGUGAAAAAAAUUUUUGAUAAGGCUUUGAAAUUGUAUAGAUUGAUGAGAAUUUCGCUCUGGAGAUGCUAUCAUUUAACUCCUGGAUGCUGAAAAAGAGAAGAUCAGCUGUCCAUGCCUACGGGUUAAUGAAACCAAAGCCUGUUGAUAUCUGUUCACUUGAAAAUUAAAAUAUAGGAUGACCUGGCAGCGUAACAUAAAGAAGAAAAUUGAGGCCUGAAUAAUGUUAAGAAAUGAAUUUUACUUGGCAAAAUGAGCACAUUGCAAGUACUUAUGAAGUAGUCAGUAAAAGAGAAAAGCCUGGUGUGAUUAAGGUACAUUUAUCACCAAAUGAAGCUUUCACAGAAAACAGAACAGGAAGAACACCGCUAGCUUUUCUGUUUCCCUGGGAUUUUUCCAAAUCCCAACAUUUCUCACCAAGAGGGGAUGUGUAUGCAAGCCUUAUCUUUCUUUCUCCUUCAUUAACAGUGAUCUUCAGAUUAACCCUUUGGUGCUAGGAGCCGACGUUUUCUAAAGUAACCUAUGAAGUCCAGGGGGCAGGAGCCCUGCCUGCGGUGAGCUGGAGGCACAAGCUUGCUGGACUGAUCAUGGAGAUGUACUCCAAUUAGUCUCUGACAGCUUCCAUACAGAAGACUGCAUCGCGACAUAGUGGAAUGGUUGCUUCAUGGGAGAGCAUGUGCCCUUCCAGAAGGGGACUCGUGUCCAUGUGCAGGUAUCGUGGAAGUGUAGAUUUAGGGCUCAGAGACCACUGCGGUUGGUGCUUGGGCCUCUGGGGCUGAGAGGGGAUUAAAGGUAUUUUA